CUUUGCAAGAAUAACGCCAAUACUUUAUCCCGAAAUUUAGUGAGCUGAUUUUUAUCUGCUAAGAGCCCAAUAAUUAGUGUAACAAUAUUACUACAAGAAUAAAUAUCAGAGGCUACAUACCUAUCGCACUAAAUUAUAGCUGGUUUUUCAGCCCUCAGUCUAAGCUGCUCAAGCUGCCUAUAUUCUAUUCCCCCAGCUAUGAAAAAUAAUUAAGGACAAGCUUAAUUAUCCCCCUUAUUAAAUAAAAACAACCACAACUAGGUAGGCCUAGAACCAGCCAUCAUAAUACUACGUUAUAGUACCAAAAUUAAAAUCCCAAAUAAAUACUCAAUCCCUGAAAUAAGCUAUAAAACUCUCAAUAGUUCAAACUAUGCAAAGAUCAGUAUUCUACCCCUAAACCCAAAGUACUCCAACUCAUAUAUAAAUAAGGAACUCGGCAACCCCUUGUUCCGACUGUUUAACAAAAACAUUGCCUGUAGCAGCUCCUAUUACAGGUAUACCCUGCCCAGUGUUAUUAUCAACGGCCGCGGUACCCUGACCGUGCAAAGGUAGCAUAAUAAUUUGCCUUUUAAUUGAAGGCUAGUAUGAAAGGGCAAACGAGAACAAGACUGUCUCAUCUAUACUCAUAAAAAUUUAUCUUUAGGUGAAGAAGCCUAAAUCUAUAUAAAAGACAAGAAGACCCCGUCGAGCUUUAGCCUAAUAUGCGACCUCCUAAACUUACCAUACUCCCCCCCGCAUAAAAGCUUUUGUUGGGGCGACAACGGAAUCUACUAAUCUUCCGUCAUAUUUUAGACUUUAUGUCACUCAAAUGAUCCUUCACCGAUCACAAGAACAAGCUACCGCAGGGAUAACAGACUAAUCUUCCUUCGGAGCUCAAAUCUACAGGAAGGCUUGGCACCUCGAUGUUGGCUUAGGAAAAUCCCCUAGAUGAAGCAGUCUAGGAAGUGGGUUUGUUCAACCCUUAAUAUCCUACAUGAG
rnacentral:rRNA from 1 species